AGACUGGGAUAACUCCGGGAAACCGGGGCUAAUACCGGAUAACUCAUUUCCUCGCAUGAGGAAAUGUUGAAAGGUGGCUUUUAGCUACCACUUACAGAUGGACCCGCGGCGCAUUAGCUAGUUGGUGAGGUAACGGCUCACCAAGGCAACGAUGCGUAGCCGACCUGAGAGGGUGAUCGGCCACACUGGGACUGAGACACGGCCCAAACUCCUACGGGAGGCAGCAGUAGGGAAUCUUCCGCAAUGGACGAAAGUCUGACGGAGCAACGCCGCGUGAGUGAUGAAGGUUUUCGGAUCGUAAAGCUCUGUUGUUAGGGAAGAACAAGUGCCGUUCGAAUAGGGCGGCACCUUGACGGUACCUAACCAGAAAGCCACGGCUAACUACGUGCCAGCAGCCGCGGUAAUACGUAGGUGGCAAGCGUUGUCCGGAAUUAUUGGGCGUAAAGCGCGCGCAGGUGGUUCCUUAAGUCUGAUGUGAAAGCCCACGGCUCAACCGUGGAGGGUCAUUGGAAACUGGGGAACUUGAGUGCAGAAGAGGAAAGUGGAAUUCCAAGUGUAGCGGUGAAAUGCGUAGAUAUUUGGAGGAACACCAGUGGCGAAGGCGACUUUCUGGUCUGUAACUGACACUGAGGCGCGAAAGCGUGGGGAGCAAACAGGAUUAGAUACCCUGGUAGUCCACGCCGUAAACAAUAAUUGCUAA
rnacentral:rRNA from 1 species